rnacentral:rRNA from 1 species
GACGAACGCUGGCGGCGUGCCUAAUACAUGCAAGUCGAACGCAGUGGGGACGGGUGAGUAACACGUGGGUAACCUCCCAUCAGAGGGGAUAACACUUGGAAACAGGUGCUAAACCGAUACUGAUGGAUGGACCCGCGGUGCAUUAGCUAUUUGGUGAGGUAACGGCUCACCAAGGCCACGAUGCAUAGACGAGCGUGGAGGGGGAGCGGCCAAACGGGGACUGAGACAAGGCCCAGACUGAUACGGGAGGCAGCAGUAGGGAAUCUUCGGAAAUGGACGAAAGUCUGACCGAGAAACGCCGCGUGAGUGAAGAAGGUUUUCGGAUCGUAAAACUCUGUUGUUAGAGAAGCGGUAGCUAACCAGAAAGCCACGGCUAACUACGUGCCAGCAGCCGCGGUAAUAC